UACAGAGGUCUCAAGCGUUGUUCGGAUUCAUUGGGCGUAAAGGGUGCGUAGGUGGUCGGGUAAGUUUAAGGUGAAAGCUCCGGGCUCAACCCGGAAAUGGCCUUGAAUACUAUCCGGCUCGAGGGUUGGAGGGGGGACUGGAAUUCUCGGUGUAGCAGUGAAAUGCGUAGAUAUCGAGAGGAACACCAGUGGCGAAGGCGAGUCCCUGGACAACACCUGACACUGAGGCACGAAAGCUAGGGGAGCAAACGGG
rnacentral:rRNA from 1 species